GUGGGGAAUUUUGGACAAUGGGCGAAAGCCUGAUCCAGCAAUGCCGCGUGCAGGAUGAAGGCCUUCGGGUUGUAAACUGCUUUUGUACGGAACGAAAAAGCUCCUUCUAAUACAGGGGGCCCAUGACGGUACCGUAAGAAUAAGCACCGGCUAACUACGUGCCAGCAGCCGCGGUAAUACGUAGGGUGCGAGCGUUAAUCGGAAUUACUGGGCGUAAAGCGUGCGCAGGCGGUUAUGUAAGACAGAUGUGAAAUCCCCGGGCUCAACCUGGGAACUGCAUUUGUGACUGCAUGGCUAGAGUACGGUAGAGGGGGAUGGAAUUCCGCGUGUAGCAGUGAAAUGCGUAGAUAUGCGGAGGAACACCGAUGGCGAAGGCAAUCCCCUGGACCUGUACUGACGCUCAUGCACGAAAGCGUGGGGAGCAA
rnacentral:rRNA from 1 species